AUCAGUCUGCAUUUUAGAUCAACCCAAAACAUAAAAAUUUUUGGUCCCUUGUUGUUGUUAUGUCAACAAAUUCUUUACCCCCUAGCCAGCCGAGGGGUUGUAUGAUACCACUUGCUUGUUGUUUUGAAAGAUUUGUACGUUGUAUCUUAGCCUGUGAGGAGAGAGACAGUUUUGCAGGAAUGUGUUGGUGAUUGUGUGGGCAUAUCUUUGAGAGAUGGCUCGAAAAGUGUUGUGGUAUCAAGAUAAACGGUGGCAAGACCAACAGAGUCAAUAGUGACACGGACUCCAUUGAUGAGCAGGUGAUUGAGAGGCAGGCAGACCCAGCUGUAAAGCAGAAUGGUCCUGUAGCCCUCAAUCAAGAUGCUGAAUUCAUCCACGAUGUCAAUCAACCACCUAGACGUCUUCCGCCCAUUUCACACGAGCCACAAUCUACUCAAGGAUGACAAUAAUUUCAUGUCCAAGUCAUUCUGUGCUUGGAGAUUGAAAUCAAAUUGAACUUUGCUGUAAAACCACAUUUUUGUGGUUGACAAUACAACAGCUGUUUUAACUGUUCUGACAAAAUAUCAUCAGGGUCCACAGUGACAGAAUGACGGUUGACUUAUAAACCUUAGGUGAGUCAAUUUGAUGGAUACCUGUUGUCGCUGAUGAUACUUUGCUGAUAUGCUAUGAUUCACAAGGGGUCAUGACAACAUUUUACCGUUUGGGGUUGUACCUGGUCUACACAUUUUGUAAGACACUAACAAAAAUUGAUACUAGCGCAUAACAAGCAUUUCACUUGUUAACAAGCAUUUCACUUGUUAGUCUAUGCAAUCUUUGUAAAGUAUUUUAAAAUUUAUGCUGAGGAAUUUUAUUCUUGUCAACAAGGUGGCAGGAACUUUUUGUAAAUCUUUUCACAUCCUCAUUGUUGUAAAUAAGAUUUUAAGAGUAUAUCAAAUCAUUGUUAACUUGGUCAGUAGCCAAGUGGUUAAACAAUUAACAUGCAGUAUCCUGUUAAAAUUCUAUUAAAAAACUUCCUUGUUAAUCUAUAGCUAUUCUGAUAGGCUUGCUAUAACCAAGGUGGGGUUAGUUUAGUAGAAUUUGUCCUCAGCAUGUUGAAGAUAUGGAAAUACAUAUUUUUAUUCUUAGUUUUAUGCAAAAAAUUGUGAAUUUCAUACUUCAUUGGAAAUGUCUUGGUCAUUUACUCAUAUGAAAUAUCAUUAUACCAUUGUCGACUGCUGAAAUAUCUUUUUAAUAAAAAUA